CAUCCAACAGCCUUUGAUACG
rnacentral:misc_RNA from 1 species